AGGAAACAGAAGACAAGUCAGCAAAGGCCAGCAGAAGCAAAUGGCGCUCAGAGAAGAUCUAGUUCCUUUCCUGAGAGCUACAUGGGAUCUUCUGAUUAUUUUGGCCAGACUCUCCUUGUCGGUGAACAAAUAUUUCUUGUGCACAUGCAUCACAGCAGAGGAAUGACUGCAAGAGAAGACAAAGGACCCACACUGGGAGAAGAGGACUUUCCUUGAGUCAUUCAUUGACUUUCGCAUGAUAGCUGGGCAUGCGUGUGCCCAUGCAUACAUAAUGAAUUAAUAAAUAAACAUGUAACUUAAUUUUUAAAUUAUAAAACAUCUAAAAUACGAACUUAUAAC